AACGUAGGGGGCCAGCGUUGCUCGGAAUUACUGGGCGUAAAGGGUCCGUAGGCGGUGUGGCAAGUCGGAAGUGAAAUCUCUGGGCUUAACCCAGAGGCUGCUUCCGAAACUGCUGUGCUAGAGUGUGAGAGAGGCGAGUGGAGUUGCGGGUGUAGCGGUGAAAUGCGUAGAUAUCCGCAGGAACAUCCGAGGCGAAAGCGGCUCGCUGGAUCACAACUGACGCUGAGGGACGAAAGCUAGGGGAGCAAACAGG
rnacentral:rRNA from 1 species